GCUUAGUAACGUAAGCUUGUAACCAAGUUGGGGCAUUAAAGUAGUUGAAUGUAUGAUGGAACCGGCUAGGUGGGAGAGGUGGCUGUUGGUCUGUCCCAAAUGACAAUAGGGGUCUUGUGGCUCUAGUGUAAAUAGGGAGUCCGUCUCAGCUUGCCCCUCGUCCUUGGGUUAAAGGGCACCACCAUCCACCAAGGGUGGGUAGCUCUCAAUAUCAAAUUGAUGGAUAUUGGAUUGGGGGGUUUCCUCUCCCCACAGAUCAAUGGAAAUUUACCACCUGAAUCCUCGCAAGCUACCAAGUUGUUUCCCAUACUAAACAACUACUUUU